UACGUAGGGUGCAAGCGUUGUCCGGAAUUAUUGGGCGUAAAGAGCUCGUAGGCGGUUUGUCGCGUCUGCUGUGAAAACUCGGGGCUUAACUCCGGGCCUGCAGUGGGUACGGGCAGACUAGAGUGCGGUAGGGGAGACUGGAAUUCCUGGUGUAGCGGUGAAAUGCGCAGAUAUCGGGAGGAACACCAGUGGCGAAGGCGGUUGCCUGGGGCUUUGCUGACGCUGAGGCGCGAAAGCGUGGGGAGCGAUCCGG
rnacentral:rRNA from 1 species